rnacentral:misc_RNA from 1 species
GGAAGGAUCAUUAUUGAAAUAGACCUGAUGGGUUGUAGCUGGCUCUUCAGGGAGCAUGUGCACGCCUUGUCAUCUUUAUAUCUCCACCUGUGCAUCUUUUGUAGACCCUUUCAGGGUCUAUGUUGCUUCAUUCACCCCAAUGUAUGUCAAUAGAAUGUUGUGUCUAUUAUAAUGUAUACAACUUUCAGCAACGGAUCUCUUGGCUCUCGCAUCGAUGAAGAACGCAGCGAAAUGCGAUAAGUAAUGUGAAUUGCAGAAUUCAGUGAAUCAUCGAAUCUUUGAACGCACCUUGCGCUCCUUGGUAUUCCGAGGAGCAUGCCUGUUUGAGUGUCAUUAAUACAUAUAUCAACCUUCCCCUUUUGGUGAAUGGCUUGGAUGUGGGGGUUUGCC